UACGUAGGAGGCAAGCGUUGUCCGGAAUUACUGGGCGUAAAGCGUGCGUAGGCGGUUCGUUAAGUCUGUCGUGAAAGCCCUGGGCUCAACCUGGGAAUUGCGAUGGAUACUGGCGAGCUAGAGUACGGUAGAGGAUGGUGGAAUUCCCGGUGUAGCGGUGAAAUGCGUAGAGAUCGGGAGGAACACCCGUGGCGAAGGCGGCCAUCUGGACCAGUACUGACGCUGAGGCACGAAAGCGUGGGGAGCAAACAGG
rnacentral:rRNA from 1 species